UGAUCAGAACGGUUCUUUUGCAAACCAUAUUAUUAAGUGUAAUGUAACCAUUAAAGUAUCAAGUUUUCCCGUCAAAACGUUUUAUUCAUCAAUUUUCGUGAAUUUCUGAUACAAGUAUAACCUCUUUUUUUUUUUUUUUGGGGUCAAACCUGAUAUAAGUAGAAGGAUAAGUGUAUAACCAUAUAAUUUAUUUUGUACAUUAUUUUACUCUUUAACACGUGUUUCGAUUUUGAUGAAGUUAAGGUCCUUUUCAAAAUUACAAUAAGAAAUGGAAAAAAAAAAAACUACAAAAUUAUCUACUCUCCGACGAGUAUCCACCAUAGGAAAUACAAUCGUUAAAAAAGUGACUUUAAA
rnacentral:lncRNA from 1 species